UCUUUCUUUCUUUUCCUUUUCCCUCUCUCUUAAUAUUUCCUGUCCUCUUAAUAUUAAUAUCUCUCUCUCAACCAGCCCUCUCUCUGCGACUCACUCUCUCACCGAUCCGCCCUCCAAACAACGCCGACGCCGAUGCCAACGCCAACGCCUUUCUGAUGAAACGAUUCUCCCACUUCACCUCUCGCCUCUCGCCUCUCGCUUUUCCUCGACCACGUCCCCGUAUAUCUUCCUCAAUCUCUUGAAGACGCUGCGUCUUCAAUUUUUUUACAUUUUGGGUUUCAGCAUCUUCAAUUUUUUUUAAGGGCUGAUUAUCUUGGGGUUUGAUUGGUAGUGUAUAGUCGCUCACAAUUUUUUUUCCUCUCUCUCUCACUCUCAUGGAUUCCGGUGCCUCUUAUUCCCCAUUCUCUUUGAGUAUUAUAUAGUUUUAUAUAUAGAAUAAUUAGAAUGUACGAUUUUACAUGUAAGAAUUGCUGUAUUUUGUUCAUUUGGUCUAUUGAAAUCAUAUAUAAUCAUUUUCAAACUCUAGAGUGAAUCAAUAAUGAUUUAUUAUGUGAAAUUAUGAAAUUGAAUAUGCUUUUGAAGAGCAGAAGUUCCAAAACAGACCAGUAAGUACUGUAUCUAUGGUGUGUUAUUUUGACAUUUUGGGUUAUCUUUGCUGAAGCACUUCUUUUUGAGAAUAAUUUAGGUGAUGGCUAAAGUUAAUUUAUUUAUCUUGUUUAAAUUAUAAUUUAAUGGCUAGCUAGAGAAAAAUAAUUAUAUAAUGUAGAGAAUAUAUUUUGUGUAUAUUUUGUACCUAGUUGUUAUUUAAUUCUUGACUAUUCUCAAUUACAAACGACUCCUUAGAAUUCUUAUGUGGAUAUCUUGAUUGUGUACAUGCAGUCAGUAAGUGAUCUUCACAAGAAACGUAGCAUAGUCUGUUAUGUUUGCUCAAUAAAUAUUUCUAUGGAAUUUAAAGUUUGUUGAUGCAAGUUACUAAUUCUGUUUUCAGAUACGAACGUAUAUGGAAUCCUCACAGUCCGAAACAAAUACAAUCAAUCGGAAAUAUAUCAGACAAGGGAUUGGUAACCCAGUUGGCGCUAACCACCUUCAGCAAUGAAAAAAUGUCCUUGAUGGUCUUGUAUCAGAGUAUGAGAAAUCAAGUCAUGGUCCAGGAAAAUGGCCGAAGCUAGCUAUGUUCUUACAAAAAAAGGAAGCUAAAGCUGCUCUAGAAAAGGCCAUUGUUAUUCAAGAGCGCACAAGCAAAGAAACACAGAAGAGAGAAGAUGCUCUUAAAGAAGAGUUUGCUAUUACUUUGGCUGAGAAGACGAAGAACUGAAGGAUAAGGCAGUGAAUAUUGAAUAUGCUGAGCAGUGCUUGACUACACUAAUAUUAGAAUUGAAGGCUGCUAAAUCAAUGGUGGCAACUGGCUAUGCCCAUUAGCUAGUGGAAUGUUUAUUUAUUCUCCAUUUCACUCCCUUCUGGUUUUGUUGUUUCAGGAACUAAAGAGAAAGAGCACAUUAGCUGCUGCACUCAAGUCACUUCAACAUAAACUUGAGAAAUACAAGAUAGAGUUGAACAACUUGUAUAAGAAUUCUUGAGUAUAUUUAUAACUUGUUCAUGUUGCAUAGAAUUGAUUACUUAUAAAUUGAGAUUAUAUUUGUAUCUGAUGAAAUAUAUUUUGAUUAAAUUUGCUA